AAAAUAUUUAUAAACCUUGGUUGAAACUCAAAAUAGUUGAAGUUUACCUUACUCCAAUAGAUGACUUUCUGAUAAAAUAAAUUCUUAACUAAAGUCAUUUGGACUCAAAGAUUCUAACUUGAUAACGACUUUAGUCUAUUAAAUUUAAAAUAAAAUAAAAACUGCUAAGAUAGGGAGUGUUAUUGAUUUUUUAGGAGUCCAUAACAUUGAUGCCCUGCUCUAUAAGUACUUUGCUAACCAUUACAGUAAAAAAAAAUUGAAUGUCAAAUAAUACCCUUUUUAGUCUCAGAUAUGGGUUUGAUUAUACAGUCCCCAAACUGAGACAAAUAAACAAAUGACACAAAAUAAUCAUGAAUGACAGAAAGAAAAGAAGAGUAAAGACGUCAUAGGCGUCCCAAGCGUUCCGCUUGUUUUUCUUGCUAUCUGGUGACUUUAGAAGUUGAGACGUGAUGACUCCAUGCUCGGGAAUGGAGAGUCUUGCAUUAAGACUCCAUAUUUUGCUCCAAGUACAUAUGCGCAAAAAAAAAAGAGAAACAAAACAAGAAUUAGAAGUGGAAUUUGAUUCUUAAGCCUGCAUAAAAAAAACAAAGACAAACGAAAACCAAAACAAACGAAGUUCAAACGGAUUCUUAAGUUAAGAACUAUUUCUUUAUUUAAGGUUUCAACAAUUAGUGGCAACAAAAUUUACUACAUAAACUGAAAUGCAUAUUUUAGUCUAAUGAUAGUAAGAAAAGAUACAAGUAUGCCUUCUGAUAUAAAACCACAUUCAAAUAUUAUAUGACAUUUAGACAGAACUUGAAGCCUCUUAGAAUUAGUGCUUUUUAUAUAAAGAAAUCCUAAGUUUAUGCCAUAAGCAACAUAAACUUAUACUCAACUUUGAUUUUAAUUGUUGGUUUUCAAAAAAACAGAAUGUUCUAACUUUAUCAGGCAGGAACUUUGUUGCAAACGAAUUCAACAAGUCUCUCCUUUAGCAAGUCUCUCCCUUCACACAUCAUGCUACCCAUGAAUAUAAAAUGCCUAGUCUUUGCUAGCAGAAACUAGUUACUGCAGUGCUCUAAAUUAAACGAAUUUCGCUCUUUGGGUAAAUAAUAUUCUAAAGUGUUGACGGUUAUUCAAUAGGGCUCAGAUGAAUGGUCAGAGAUAUGCUUUCCAGAUCAUUUAGAAUGAAUAGAAUAUCCAAACCUAUUAACAGGAUCUAUAGAAUAAACUUAAUACAUGUAUAUCAACAUUUCAAUAGAGUAAACUUCUUUUAUACACCGUUCAAGAAAGAAAACAAUGAUUAAUCUUAAAAUGUUCAAGAGCUAUAGACUGUGGAAUAUCUUAUGAACAUGAUUCUAAGCAGUCAAGAACUGACUUAAUACAUGUACAUCUGACUUAUAACUUCAAACCUCUCAUUCUAACUUAACCGUCCUUCCAAUUUUUUAGAAGCCUGAAACAUGAUUUCUAAGGCGUGAUUUCAAAAAUAAAAUUAAAAAAAAAAAGAUCUUUUCCCCUUAAUAUAUCCAGAACAUAACAUACUGGACAAAAUUCAAAUAUGUGACUUAAGUCAAAGGGAGUAUUCAAUCCUAGGAGCAUGACAUCUAUUCUUGUUAUGUUUCUAAUGAAACUUUCACACAUGGAAAUAUUUAUUCAAUAACCAAACAAAACAUAAUAAGCCAAAUACCUUACUAUACUGUCUCACCAUCGUAAGAAAUAAAAUAUAGCCUACCAGUUAGUCACAUUUUAUCAUCUAGAAUAGAGAAAAGGAGAAAGUACUGACCUGCUUUAGAGCAGUGAACUGAGGGCGAGGAUCUUGGGUCCGCCACGCGACCUUAAGUUCUACUAGCAAGCAACGAAAGAAUUUAUCUACUAUUGUCGAAGCCAUACAGAGACAAAGAAAGAACUCGAAGAAGAUCAGUUUUUGGGAAAGAGAAAAAACAAUAGGGCAUAAGUGCUUUAGGGAGGAGAGGCAGCCAAAAAAAACCUCUCAAAUGUGGGGUGAAAGUAGGCGGCUCUAGCUUCUGGUUUUUUGAGUGAAAUGGUGGAUAACAACCAUCAGUUUUUUAGGGUAAAGGGGGCGACUCCAAAAACAUCUCCAGAUGGACUCCAAGUGCUGGUUUUUAUAGGUGAAAAUCUAGGGUUCUUGAUUUGGGCGGGAUUUUGAAAUUGAGUCAAGGAUACUAAACCAUUUGAAAAUUGAACGUUGGUACUGCAGAGAAAUUAAAUGGAGGGCAUGGCUUCUUGCUUCAAAAUAGUAAUGGCAAGUCUGCCAUGGCUGAGCAACACUGAAGUUUUGUGAAGAAAAGGAAAGGGAGAAAAUAAGCGGUUGUUUGGUAGAGAGAAGGGAUUCUAGAGUGUUCUAUUGUUGGGCUAGUAGAAGCUUUUGGGCUGCCGACUUGGGCUUGUUCUUGGGCUAUUCAGAGUGGUGAAAUUCGGCCUUUCAUUCUUCCUACAUUUUCUUUGGACUUCUAACUUUAAUAAAAUAUUUUAAUAAUCAUAUUACAUAAUACUAUAUAUUAUUAACAUAUAAAAUUUCAAUUACACUAAUUGAUAAGUAUAAAAUUAUAAUGCUCUUGGAACAAAUAUUUAUAAAAUAUUGGAUUAAAGAAUAUUACUAUUUAACUAAAUAAAAGAAAAUGGUAUGUUUUUUCUCAAAAAGACGAUAAAAAGGAAUGAAUAAGUGAAUAAUAAUAAUGAGUAUAGUAAGAGUUUUAAUAAUAAUAGCAAAUAGGCAUGGUUUGUAUUAAAAUAAAUAGUAGAACAACUACCUUAUUUUAUUAGUGAUAUUAGAAGUUUAAAGAAAUAAUUUGGAAGAAAUGGGGGUCAAAAUUGGGUGUCAACAAGUAAGGAAUUUUGUUAUCCUUGGUACAAAAGGAUUAUCGUAAGGCGAGUAAGGGUCAUUGAUGAUAUGAAAAAACACCAAAGGAAAAAAGGUAAAACAUCUAUAGGUAGAUCGUCGUAGCGCUAAAUCUUAGUACUCCCCUAAAGGGGAAAUAUGCAGUGAUGUGGCAUUAAGUCAGAAUUAAGUGGUUCUAGUAGUUAUGGAAUGGUAAAAGAAGAAUGCGAUAAAAAUAAAAAAGGGAUGAUUGUACUUAUUCAAAGCCUACAGAUACUACUACGAUUCCAGAACAUUAUGCAAACACGACAUCAAGGAAAGGAAGUAAGGGUUCCCGCCCGGUAUGUUAUUGAUAAAUAAGGAGCCAGCGCAAAAGGUAAGUUAAGACAAAAGAAAUAACCUAAGAAAGAUAACGCAGAAUAUUGAUAUGAGAAUGGGCCAACGAGUAAUUAGUAGUUGAUUCAGGAAGAGCCUAGUUAUGGCUAGACAAGAGGUUAUAGACAAAUCAACAGAUCAUGCAAGAUAAACAUAGUAAAAUGCAAUAUAGUGAAUUCAGCCUCGCAAUUAUGAUAUUGUAAUACUUGAGACAUAUUCAGAUAGGAGUUAGGGUAGUUAAAGGUACAGUAUAAGUGUUACGGAAAUAAAAGAGAGUAUCAUUAGGAAGACAAUCAAAACUUCAGUUCAGAAGCAAUCGUACGAGCAUAUGAGUGUGGAGGUAAGUAACUAAGGAUAAUUAUAGGUGAGUACGAACAUCAAGAAUUUUAUCAGGUAUACGAUGUAAUAAGCUUGCAGCUUUACAAGAGUCAAAGGGUCCUCCCUAAGUAUUAAAAUGAAAGGCUAGCUGAGGAAAUAAGGAAGAAGGCUUCAAACAAAGAAUAGUAACUUGAAGAAGAAAUAGUCAUGUAAAAACAGUCUCAUUGCAACGUUGUAUGCACUCCAUAAGAAAGUGGCACCUGCCGUAGCUAAUGAACGGGAAGUAAAGUCAAAAGUAAUAUUAGAGAUCAUAUGAGUUGCACGAAAACUCCAGCAUGCGUCAGAACUAAGAUAAGUAUGCAGGCAACAAUGGGGUAGAAAGACCAGAAAAAGUAAUAGCUUACGUUUAAAGAAAGCUGUGAUGGAACGAAAGGGAUUAUUCAAUCUAUGAUCUAGAGUUAACUACGUUAUAAAUGCGCUUAAGAUUUCGAAAAAUUAUCCAUGCAGCAUAUAUGUUGACAAUCAUACAGUCGUAGAAGAUUCCGGUAUAAGAAAAGAAUUGAGCCCAGGUCAUAGAAAAAUGUGUAACGACCCGACUGUUUAUUUUGAAUAAUUGCAUCUGGUUUAGCAGUUUGAGGUCAAAAGCAGCUUAACAUUAUGUAUAUCAACUUGUGUGCAUGGAUGGAUUCAGUUUUCAGAUGAAUCGGAGGCGAAUUGGAAAGAAGGAAUAUAGUUCUGGAAGUUUAAGCGGAGAAAAUUGGAUCAGAAUUUGACUUUUGAGUAAACGGCUCCAGAAUAAGUUUUGGAUGAUGUUAGUAGCUUCGUAUGGUGAUUUUGGACUUGGGUGUGUGUUCGAAUUUGGGUUUGGAGGCCCGUAGGGUAAUUUGUGGCAUUCUGGAGAAAGUUGGAAAAGUUAAAGUUUGGAAAAUAGAGAGGUUUGACCCAUAGUUGACUUUUAUGUUAUCGAGGUCGGAAUGCGAUUCUGAAAGUUUGAAGCUCCGUUAUGUCAUUUGGGACUUGCCUGCAAAAUUUGGUGUCGUUUGGAGUUGAUUUGAUAUGGUUCGGACGCUUGGUUGAAAUUUUAGAGGUUCUCGAAGUUCAUGGUGAUUUUCAUGCGUUUGGGCAUCUGAUUCGUGGUCUUAGCGAUGUUUGAAGUAAUUUGAGAGUGGGGCUAAGUUCUAUGAUGUUAUGGUAUGUGUUGGAACAUUUGGUUGAGGUUCCGGGGGCCUCGGAUGAGUUUCGGGGUGAAUUUUGAGCGAGUCCGGGCAUUUCGGUACUCUGAGAUGGUUCUGGCAUUUUUGGGAGUGCAGACUGCACCAAAAAUAUGCGGACCGCAGAGGAGAGUGCGGACCGCACAAAAAUUUCACGAAACUCAGUGCGGACCGCACAAUUUGGUGUGCGGCCGCACAUCAAGAUGUUCUGCAGGAUUGUUGGUCCGACUUCGGAAGGUUAUAUCUUUUGAUCUAUAAGGAAUUUUGAGAUGAUUCCAAAAUGAAAGUUGUAUCACUUCGUGUCUAGUUUCCAGAAAGGUAAAGAAAU
rnacentral:lncRNA from 1 species